rnacentral:misc_RNA from 1 species
GGAAACCUAUGAGCAUUGUCAACAUUGUACAUUCAGGUGGUAACCAGAAACCUCAGUUACAUGAGUCAAAUAGUGAGAACUCUGACAAGCACCUGUCUGACUUCAGUACAUUACAUUCAGAUGUUGAGAAUGAAGAGGCAGUGGAAUAUCAUCAUGAUGAAGAGAAAUAUGAAGAUGUGGUGCAGAUGGAUGGAAAGAGAGCAUUGGAAGAGAAACUACCUGACCAAGGUGUUUGUUAUAUGAUGAGGAAGUUAAGGCAAUUGAGGAUGAAGAAGUGACCAACACAAGUACAGAAAAUGUCAAGCCACCGAAGACUGAACACGAAGAUAUGAUUGAUGAUGAUGAUGGAGUUGAGGUUCUUGAUGAAGACUAUGGAGAUGACGUGGAUGAUGAUGAAGAGAUGACUAACACAAGCACAGAAAAUGUCCAGAAUCUGGAUGACCAGCCUAACACUGGGUCAAAUGGCAGUGAGAAGGAGGGAGAAAACAGAGAAGAUGGGGCUGGUAAAAAGGUGGACUGGAGAGAGACCAUGCAGAAGAUACUGAACAAAACUAAGGCCUCUGUGUCUGAUGUUUCUCAGCAGAUACAGGACACUUGGAAACAGAUGAACAUGAAAAAGAGGCACAAAUUCUUCAACAUCCUGGAUGACUUUGAUGAACGAUUCAAUGCGGACAGGUUGUUGGAUCCUGAUCACAAGUGGUACAGCUGUCAGUGGGAUUGGUGGUGGAAUGCCAUCUCCUUCCAUCUCAACACUUUCAUGUUGAUGGAUCCAAGUUGCCAGGGAACCCUAUUGCCAUGGCAGGAGGGGAUCUUGGAGUCUGGGAGAUGGGAAUGUCCAGGGUUUCCUCAGAAUCUGAAGAGACAAAGCAAUGAUGAAGAUGAUGAUGAAGAUGAUGAUGAAGAUGAUGAGAAAGAUCAUGAUAAAAUGGAAAAAGUUUACAGAAAGCACUUUAAGAACAUGCCUUACUUUGGUGAUUCUGAGCCUUACCGAACAGCAACUACACAGAGGAGUUCAAAGGCUGCGAUCCAACCAAAGGAAUAUGCGAUUUCAACAAGAAUGACUCCUGGUACCUGA